rnacentral:rRNA from 1 species
CGAUAACGGGCGAGACUCUGCCCUGGCGGAUAACAAACGGCGGUCAAGAGGGGUCCGUCUCACGGGUUGGGGCGGCGUCUGGCUCUCGGGUCGGUCGUCGUUCUUCCCACUCAGGGAGAGUCGGUGCCCCGGACCGCCGUCGCGCAGGCCGCGUCCUGCAGGGAUUGACCUCGAGCAGUGCGUACGAGAUGGAGCCAUAACAGGUCUGUGAUGCCCUUAGACGUCCUGGGCUGCACGUGUGCUACAGUGGUGGCGCCAGCCGGCGCGGUGUAGACCGUGAGCGUAGGAGUCUUCAUGUCCGGGGUCGGUCUUCCUGCGAGUUGGGCCGUGAACUCGGAAUGCCACGUAGUCACGGGUCAGCAUCCCGUGCCGACUACGUCCCUGCCCUUUGUACACACCGCCCGUCGCUACCUUCGGUGGACGGCGCAGCCAGGGCCCCGGAGUGGCCGGCGAGACGGGGCUUCGUGCUCCUGAAAUCGCAGUCGUCGCGAUGUCGCCCGAACUGCGCUGCCCCGAGAGGGUAAAAGUCGUAACAAGGUUUCCGUA